AGUGAACGCUGGCGGUAGGCCUAACACAUGCAAGUCGAACGGCAGCACAGUAAGAGCUUGCUCUUACGGGUGGCGAGUGGCGGACGAGUGAGGAAUACAUCGGAAUCUACUUUUUCGUGGGGGAUAACGUAGGGAAACUUACGCUAAUACCGCAUACGACCUACGGGUGAAAGCAGGGGAUCUUCGGACCUUGCGCGAUUGAAUGAGCCGAUGUCGGAUUAGCUAGUUGGCGGGGUAAAGGCCCACCAAGGCGACGAUCCGUAGCUGGUCUGAGAGGAUGAUCAGCCACACUGGAACUGAGACACGGUCCAGACUCCUACGGGAGGCAGCAGUGGGGAAUAUUGGACAAUGGGCGCAAGCCUGAUCCAGCCAUACCGCGUGGGUGAAGAAGGCCUUCGGGUUGUAAAGCCCUUUUGUUGGGAAAGAAAAGCAGCAGGUUAAUACCCCGCUGUUCUGGCGGUACCCAAAGAAUAAGCACCGGCUAACUUCGUG
rnacentral:rRNA from 1 species